GACAGAGGGUGCGAACGUUGUUCGGAAUUACUGGGCGUAAAGCGCAUGUAGGCGGCAGCGCAAGUCGGGCGUGAAAUCCCACGGCUCAACCGUGGAAGUGCACUCGAAACUGCGCAGCUAGAGUCCUGGAGAGGAAGGUGGAAUGCUUGGUGUAGAGGUGAAAUUCGUAGAUAUCAGGCGGAACACCGGUGGCGAAGGCGGCCUUCUGGACAGUGACUGACGCUGAGACGCGAAAGCGUGGGGAGCAAACAGG
rnacentral:rRNA from 1 species